CUCAGUUCGGAUUGGAGUCUGCAACUCGACUCCAUGAAGCUGGAUUCGCUAGUAAUCGCGCAUCAGCCAUGGCGCGGUGAAUACGUUCCCGGGCCUUGUACACACCGCCCGUCAAGCCAUGGAAGCCGGGAGUGCCUGAAGUGCGUGAGCGCAAGCAGCGCCCUAAGGUAAAACCGGUGACUGGGGCUAAGUCGUAACAAGGUAAC
rnacentral:rRNA from 1 species